rnacentral:lncRNA from 1 species
GUGGGAGUCAAGAGAGUGCACACAGAAUAUAAAGCCCCUUCUCAGGAACACAUUUGCUAGCUGCAGCUCUGCAGGACCCAGGGUCUCAAGGCAGUGGAAAAAGAGCAAGAACAGAAUAAUACAAUCACUCUUAAAGCUUAUGCCCAGAUGUGGGAUAUGUCAUUGCUGCUCAAAUUCCACUGGCCAAAUUAGCCCUGAGCUAACAUCUGCUGCCAAUCCUCCUCUUUUUUGCUGAGGAAGACUGGCCCUGAGCUAACAUCCAUGCCCAUCUUCCUCUACUCUAUAUGUGGGACGCCCGCCACAGCAUGGCUUGACAAGGGGUGCCAUGUCCGCACCCAGGAUCCGAACCGGCGAAC